CCUAGGACGACUUCUGGAGACAGAUUUCUUCCCUUCGGGGACCUAGUGACAGGUGCUGCAUGGCUGUCGUCAGCUCGUGUCGUGAGAUGUUGGGUUAAGUCCCGCAACGAGCGCAACCCUCGUCCUUAGUUGCCAUCAUUAAGUUGGGCACUUUAAGGAAACUGCCGGUGAUAAGCCGGAGGAAGGUGGGGAUGACGUCAAGUCCUCAUGGCCCUUACAGGCUGGGCUACACACGUGCUACAAUGGCAUCUACAGUGGGCAGCUAUUCCGCAAGGAUGCGCUAAUCUCCAAAAGAUGUCUCAGUUCGGAUUGUCCUCUGCAACUCGAGGGCAUGAAGGCGGAAUCGCUAGUAAUCGCGGAUCAGCAUGCCGCGGUGAAUACGUUCCCAGGCCUU
rnacentral:rRNA from 1 species